rnacentral:rRNA from 1 species
UGUGGCCAAGUUUUUAAGGGCGCACGGUGGAUGCCUUGGCACCAGGAACCGAUGAAGGACGUGGGAGGCCACGAUAGGCCCCGGGGAGUCGUCAACCAGGCUUUGAUCCGGGGGUGUCCGAAUGGGGAAACCCGGCAGUCGUCAUGGGCUGUCACCCGCUGCUGAACACAUAGGCAGUGUGGAGGGAACGCGGGGAAGUGAAACAUCUCAGUACCCGCAGGAAGAGAAAACAACCGUGAUUCCGGGAGUAGUGGCGAGCGAAACCGGAUGAGGCUAAACCGUAUACGUGUGAGACCCGGCAGGGGUUGCGUGUGCGGGGUUGUGGGAUCUCUCUUCUGUUGUCUGCCGGCAACAGGACGAGUCAGAAACCGUUGAUGUAGGCGAAGGACAUGCGAAAGGUCCGGCGUAGAGGGUAAGACCCCCGUAGUCGAAACAUCAGCGGCUCGUUGGAGAGACACCCAAGUAGCACGGGGCCCGAGAAAUCCCGUGUGAAUCUGGCGGGACCACCCGCUAAGCCUAAAUAUUCCCUGGUGACCGAUAGCGGAUAGUACCGUGAGGGAAUGGUGAAAAGUACCGCGGGAGCGGAGUGAAAUAGUACCUGAAACCGUGUGCCUACAAGCCGUGGGAGCGUCGGACAUCAAGCUUGCUUGGUGUCUCGUGACUGCGUGCCUUUUGAAGAAUGAGCCUGCGAGUUUGCGGUGUGUUGCGAGGUUAACCCGGGUGGGGAAGCCGUAGCGAAAGCGAGUCCGAACAGGGCGAUUUUAGUAGCACGCUCAAGACCCGAAGCGGAGUGAUCUAGCCAUGGGCAGGUUGAAGCGGCUGUAAGAGGUCGUGGAGGACCGAACCCACCAGGGUUGAAAACCUGGGGGAUGACCUGUGGUUAGGGGUGAAAGGCCAAUCAAACUCCGUGAUAGCUGGUUCUCCCCGAAAUGCAUUUAGGUGCAGCGUCGUGUGUUUCUUGCCGGAGGUAGAGCACUGGAUAGGCGAUGGGCCCUACCGGGUUACUGACCUUAGCCAAACUCCGAAUGCCGGUAAGUGAGAGCGCGGCAGUGAGACUGUGGGGGAUAAGCUCCAUGGUCGAGAGGGAAACAGCCCAGAGCAUCGACUAAGGCCCCUAAGCGUACGCUAAGUGGGAAAGGAUGUGGAGUCGCACAGACAACCAGGAGGUUGGCUUAGAAGCAGCCACCCUUGAAAGAGUGCGUAAUAGCUCACUGGUCUAGUGAUUCCGCGCCGACAAUGUAGCGGGGCUCAAGCGUACCGCCGAAGUCGUGUCAUUCAUACAACAGGGCCAACGCCUGUAUGGAUGGGUAGGGGAGCGUCGUGUGCCGGGUGAAGCAGCCGCGGAAGCGAGUUGUGGACGGUUCACGAGUGAGAAUGCAGGCAUGAGUAGCGAUACAAACGUGAGAAACGUUUGCGCCGAUUGACUAAGGGUUCCUGGGUCAAGCUGAUCUGCCCAGGGUAAGUCGGGACCUAAGGCGAGGCCGACAGGCGUAGUCGAUGGAUAACCGGUUGAUAUUCCGGUACCCGCUGUGAAGCGUCAAACAUCGAACCAGGCGAUGCUAAGUCCGUGAAGCCGCCCCUGAUCUCUUCGGAGUGAGGGGGAGUGGUGGAGCCGAUGAUCCAGACCUGUAGUAGGUGAGUGAUGGGGUGACGCAGGAAGGUAGUCCAUCCCGGGCGGUGGUUGUCCCGGGGUAAGGGUGUAGGCCGGUGUGUAGGUAAAUCCGCACACCUUGUGGCUGAGACCUGAUGCCGAGCCGAUUGUGGUGAAGUGGAUGAUCCUAUGCUGUCGAGAAAAGCCUCUAGCGAGUUUCAUGGCGGCCCGUACCCUAAACCGACUCAGGUGGUCAGGUAGAGAAUACCGAGGCGUUCGGGUGAACUAUGGUUAAGGAACUCGGCAAAAUGCCCCCGUAACUUCGGGAGAAGGGGGGCCACACUCGGUGACCGGAUUUACUCCGUGAGCUGGGGGUGGCCGCAGAGACCAGCGAGAAGCGACUGUUUACUAAAAACACAGGUCCGUGCGAAGCCGUAAGGCGAUGUAUACGGACUGACGCCUGCCCGGUGCUGGAACGUUAAGGGGACCGGUUAGUCCAGAUUCGUCUGGGCGAAGCUGAGAACUUAAGCGCCAGUAAACGGCGGUGGUAACUAUAACCAUCCUAAGGUAGCGAAAUUCCUUGUCGGGUAAGUUCCGACCUGCACGAAUGGCGUAACGACUUCUCGACUGUCUCAACCAUAGGCCCGGUGAAAUUGCACUACGAGUAAAGAUGCUCGUUUCGCGCAGCAGGACGGAAAGACCCCGGGACCUUUACUACAGUUUGAUAUUGGUGUUCGGUUCGGCUUGUGUAGGAUAGCUGGGAGACUUUGAAGCUCGCACGCCAGUGUGGGUGGAGUCGUCGUUGAAAUACCAGUCUGGUCGUGCUGGAUGUCUAACCUGGGUCCGUGAUCCGGAUCAGGGACAGUGUCUGAUGGGUAGUUUAACUGGGGCGGUUGCCUCCUAAAGAGUAACGGAGGCGCCCAAAGGUUCCCUCAGCCUGGUUGGCAAUCAGGUGUUGAGUGUAAGUGCACAAGGGAGCUUGACUGUGAGACCGACGGGUCGAGCAGGGACGAAAGUCGGGACUAGUGAUCCGGCGGUGGCUUGUGGAAGCGCCGUCGCUCAACGGAUAAAAGGUACCCCGGGGAUAACAGGCUGAUCUUCCCCAAGAGUCCAUAUCGACGGGAUGGUUUGGCACCUCGAUGUCGGCUCGUCGCAUCCUGGGGCUGGAGUCGGUCCCAAGGGUUGGGCUGUUCGCCCAUUAAAGCGGUACGCGAGCUGGGUUUAGAACGUCGUGAGACAGUUCGGUCCCUAUCCGCUGUGCGCGUAGGAGUCUUGAGAAGGGCUGUCCCUAGUACGAGAGGACCGGGACGGACGAACCUCUGGUGUGCCAGUUGUCCUGCCAAGGGCAUGGCUGGUUGGCUACGUUCGGGAGGGAUAACCGCUGAAAGCAUCUAAGCGGGAAGCCUGCUUCGAGAUGAGGACUCCCACCCCCUUGAGGGGUUAAGGCUCCCAGUAGACGACUGGGUUGAUAGGCCGGAUCUGGAAGCACCGUGAGGUGUGGAGGUGACCGGUACUAAUAGGCCGAGGGCUUGUCCUC